rnacentral:lncRNA from 1 species
CCAUCCCCAUCAAACGACUCUCUCUGCACCCCCCUCAUUUACUUGGAUGACUGCUCUUGCCUCUGUGUCUCCGUGGCCACUGCCCCCGAUCCAUUCCCAAGCAGCAGCCAGCGAGAUGUUUUAAAAAUACAAAUUGAGUCAUGCCAUUCUCAUGCUUAAAACCAUCCGGUUAUUUCCUUUUCAAAAGCACUGAGAAUAAAAUGCACCACUUUCCCCAACUUUCAAGACUAGUUGGUGUGGCCUUUAUUGAACCCAUCUCACCUUGGACCUUUCUCCUCCCUUAUUUCCUAGACCCUGCUCAUGUGGCCAUGUUUUUGCUCCCCAUGAUUCGCCAUGAUGCUUUCCACUCCGUGGUCCUUGCCUCUGAUUUCCUGCUGCCCCUUUGCCUAGAAGGCUCCUCCUCAAGUGACGGGUUUUCACUUUUGUUCCUCGGGUUCCUCAGAGCAAACCUCUCUGAUGACUGUUUCAAAGGGAGCUGUUGUCAUCACCACGCCCACUUCAUUUUCACAAAUGCUGCUCCUGUCAGUCGUGAUUAUUGGCUUGUUUGCCUCCUCCUAUUGUCAUGUCUUCCUCCACAAAAACGUGAGCUCCAAAGAGCAGAUACUGGCUUGGUCUUAUUCACUGUGGCCCUAAUCACUGCCGGUCCACCAUGGAUAUUCAGUAAGCAUUUGUUUAAUGAACAGAUGAAUCGUUUUCAGAUUAUUUAAGCUAUAUUCGUUUCUCCUUGACUGUCUGACCGUCUACUCCUUGGUAAAGUAUCCAACCAUAGAGGGAGGAACAUGUUUCAUUUUCAACUUAAAUAUGUGUUCAAACAUGUUUUCAUUUUCAACUUAUAUAUGUGUUCAACUUAACAUAUUGAAGGGAGAUUGUUGUUCUAUCUUAGCUCUUGCGUACUCUAUCCCUUCAUGGUGGCAAAUGACGAGAUAUUAAGUUUUAAGAGCCAUCAGACUUUCAUUAGCAAACAUUUCCUAACCUUUUCUGUUUUCUAGGUCUUUUCUGAAUUUUAUUUAAUCUGAAUUUAGAAUGUAGUCAUCUCUACGGAAGCCGUUGCUUGCAUGUAAUUUUCGAUUGUGGAAAUUCUAGAAAUCCUACAAAAUUAACAUUUUUGUUUAUUUCAAAUACAUUGGUUCCAAGACUAUGUCAUGCUAA